AGCAGCCGCGGUAAUUCCAGCUCCAAUAGCGUAUAUUAAAGUUGUUGCAGUUAAAAAGCUCGUAGUUGAAUUUCGGGGUCAGUAGGUCGGUCGUGCCACUGGUAUGAACUGGUUUUACUGAUUCCUCCCUCUUGAAGAACUGUAAUGCCAUUAAUUUGGUGUUGCAGGGAAUCAGGACUGUUACUUUGAAAAAAUUAGAGUGUUUAAAGCAAGCUUUAGCUUGAAUACAUUAGCAUGGAAUAAUGAAAUAGGACGUUUGAUCCUAUUUUGUUGGUUUCUAGGAUUGACGUAAUGAUUAAUAGGGAUAGUUGGGGGCAUUAGUAUUCAAUUGUCAGAGGUGAAAUUCUUGGAUUUAUUGAAGACUAACUACUGCGAAAGCAUUUGCCAAGGAUGUUUUCAUUAAUCAAGACGAAAGUUAGGGGAUCGAAGACGAUCAGAUACCGUCGUAGUCUUAACCAUAAACUAUGCCGACUAGGGAUCGGAUGAUGUUAAUUUUUUAAUGACUCAUUCGGCGCCUUAC
rnacentral:rRNA from 1 species